GAGAUAUGGAAGGGAAAGUGGAAUUCCUAGUGUAGCGGUGAAAUGCGCAGAUAUUAGGAGGAAUACCGGUGGCGAAGGCGACUUUCUGGCCAUAAUCUGACGCUGAGGUACGAAAGCGUGGGUAGCAAACAGGAUUAGAUACCCUGGUAGUCCACGCCGUAAACGAUGAGUGUUAGGUGUCUGGAGUAAAUCUGGGUGCCGCAGCUAACGCAUUAAACACUCCGCCUGGGGAGUACGCGCGCAAGCGUGAAACUCAAAGGAAUUGACGGGGACCCGCACAAGCAGCGGAGCAUGUGGUUUAAUUCGACGCAACGCGAAGAACCUUACCAAGUCUUGACAUAUUACGGCGGGAGCUAGAGAUAGUUCCUUACUUCUUCGGAAGACUGUAAUACAGGUGGUGCAUGGUUGUCGUCAGCUCGUGUCGUGAGAUGUUGGGUUAAGUCCCAUAACGAGCGCAACCCCUAUCGUUAGUUACCAUCAUUAAGUUGGGGACUCUAACAAUACUGCCGGUGACAAACCGGAGGAAGGUGGGGAUGACGUCAAAUCAUCAUGCCCUUUAUGACUUGGGCUACACACGUGCUACAAUGGCAGGUACACAGAGCAGCUAAACAGCGAUGUCACGCGAAUCUCAAAAAGCCUGUCCCAGUUCGGAUUGCACUCUGCAACUCGAGUGCAUGAAGUUGGAGUUGCUAGUAAUCGUGGAUCAGAAUGCCGCGGUGAAUGCGUUCCCGGGUCUUGCACACACCGCCCGU
rnacentral:rRNA from 1 species